rnacentral:rRNA from 1 species
AGUGAACGCUGGCGGUAGGCCUAACACAUGCAAGUCGAACGGCAGCACAGUAAGAGCUUGCUCUUACGGGUGGCGAGUGGCGGACGGGUGAGGAAUACAUCGGAAUCUACUUUUUCGUGGGGGAUAACGUAGGGAAACUUACGCUAAUACCGCAUACGACCUACGGGUGAAAGCAGGGGAUCUUCGGACCUUGCGCGAUUGAAUGAGCCGAUGUCGGAUUAGCUAGUUGGCGGGGUAAAGGCCCACCAAGGCGACGAUCCGUAGCUGGUCUGAGAGGAUGAUCAGCCACACUGGAACUGAGACACGGUCCAGACUCCUACGGGAGGCAGCAGUGGGGAAUAUUGGACAAGGGGCGCAAGCCUGAUCCAGACAUACCGCGUGGGUGAAGAAGGCCUUCGGGUUGUAAAGCCCUUUUGUUGGGAAAGAAAAGCAGCAGGUUAAUACCCCGCUGUUCUGACGGUACCCAAAGAAUAAGCACCGGCUAACUUCGUG